UACAGAGGUCUCAAGCGUUGUUCGGAUUUAUUGGGCGUAAAGAGCUCGUAGGCGGCUUGUCGCGUCGUUCGUGAAAACCUGCAGCUCAACUGCAGGCCUGCGGUCGAUACGGGCAGGCUAGAGUUCGGUAGGGGAGACUGGAAUUCCUGGUGUAGCGGUGAAAUGCGCAGAUAUCAGGAGGAACACCGGUGGCGAAGGCGGGUCUCUGGGCCGAUACUGACGCUGAGGAGCGAAAGCGUGGGGAGCGAACAGG
rnacentral:rRNA from 1 species